UGGCCACAUCACGCUGAAACACCGUAUCCCAUAUGGUCACUGAAGAUAAACAACGUCGAUACUGGUCAGUACUUAGAUGGGUGACCGUUUGGGAAUACUAGGU